CACUGACUUUGGCCAAGUCAUAAUGAAAAUAAAGAUGAGUAGUAGAACUAAUUAACGUUUCAAGAGGCUUCAGUAAUCUGAGAUGCUGUUAGUUACGUAAUUUAAAUAUUGUUUUCUUGUAAUACUAGUUCCUUGACUUGAUAAGUAUCUACUUACAUUUUCAGGUGAAUUUAGUAUGUUGGAAUCCACACUGGCAACAAGACAAGAGCUCUUCUUGGUCCCUGUAUACUUAUUUAUACGUUCUUUGGCAGCAGCCCACCUCUUGUUUCUAUGGGUUUAGCGUCUUUCUGGAAGAAGAAUUUAAAGGAUGCUGAAUGAAUGUUGAGGAACCACGAUCUGCUGUUCUGCUGCUGCAGUGCAACUCAGCAUCAACCCAUGUGCAAGCGCAAAACUGAAGCUGUCAAACUAAAGGGAUUCAAGUUGCACCUCAGAAGCUACAACUCUUCCAAAAAGGGUUGCCCACUGAAGUGAGUUACUUUUCAUGUUGUUGGAGUAGCAGUAUGUGCCUGUGCCUUCAACUGCAU